rnacentral:lncRNA from 1 species
GUGCAAUCAUCACAUCAUCCCAAAUCACAAUCAAGACUAAAAACCAAAAAGAACAUAUGUACAAGCCAAAAUUAAGAGCAAAAUGUCAAAAUAUGCAUAACUACUAUAUAAUACUAAGUUAUGUACAAGCAAAAUUAAAAAGUGCAAUAAACUAAGAAAGUGCAAUAACUAAGUAAAAAGGUUUUCAAAAGAUAAAAUAUAUACAAAAUAACUAAAAAGCAUAAUAAGAAACUAAACUAAAAGUGUUCGGCAAUGAAGCUUGUCACCCAAAAUGCGCUUGCUGAAGAUGCACAACCUCCCCACACUUAAGAUGUAGCACCGUCCUCGGUGCUCACGAUCAUGCGGAGUGGAAGGAGUCGUCACUGUGUCACCUCCACCUUCAACUGGUGGGUUAGGCGAUAGAGUAGCUGCAAGAGUGAUGGUGAUGCUUUAAAGGAAAGAGC